ensembl:lncRNA
CCGUGAUCAAUUUGAUAGAUUAUUAACGUUUAUUAAUACCUAAAGUUGGUUUAGAUAAGUAGUUUGAAGUGUUUUGUAAAAGUUUAUAGGCAACUUUUGUAAUUUUAAAAAGUGACGUUGCGUCUUGUAAAGGGGCAUUUUUCUGGAUCAGACCGGUCUUCAGCAAAUCACAUUUUGGGUAUACAAUGACGGAUUUAAUCGGGAAAAAGACCCAAUUGUGAUGUUUAUGUGACAUAUAGGAGUGCCAAGAAAGAAGCUCGUCAAAGAUUCCCACAAAGAUCUCCGCCACGACACAACCCAAGGGGGGCGCCAACCCAGACAGGAAGAUCACGUCAGUGACUCAACCCAAUCAAGUGAUGCACCCCUCCUAGGGACAGCAUGGAAGAGCACCAGUAAGCCAGUGACUCAGCCCCCGUAAUAGGGUUAGAGCGGAGAGAGUGAAUCCCAGUGGAGAGAGGGGAACCGGCCAGGCAGAGACAGCAAGGGCGGUUCGUUGCUCCAGUGCCUUUCCGUUCCUCUUCACACUCCUGGGCCAGACUACACUCAAUCAUAGGACCUACUGAAGAGAUGAGUCUUCAAUAAAGACUUAAAGGUUGAGACCGAGUCUGCGUCUCUCACAUGGCCUCAGUAGAACACACCUGACUAUCCUCCACCAGUCAUACAAGGAGAAUAGUCUAAUGCCUAUCAAAAAGAGAUCUGACCCAAGCAAGCACAGGUUACACAUGAAGCAUCAGGACUUGCAGCGAGUGGUGAACUUCAUCAACACCUAUGCAGAGGAUAAUGCAAUAGUAUUACCUGGACGCCAACCAGGACACAAACACUUUGGUCGGAAGCUGCUGCCAUGUCAUGUGACACAAACUGCAGUGUGGCAUCUCUACAAGGAAAUGAUGACAACACAUGAGGUAUGUGUAGUCGCGCUGUCUUCCUUCAAGAAUUUGUGGACCACCUGACUCCGUACUUUAGCCUAAUGUCACAGAUCAAGCAGUACCAGCACUUCAGGAGCAUGGUUUUGUUGUCGCCAAGGAGCGUUCAGACUCAGUUGGGACCAGGUUUCAGCUGCUCCCAGUCAUCAUGACUAUCUGCACUGCCUCUAUGCACAUUCACAUGACUUUCUCUUAACACACACAGCAUACGUUGCUGCUAUUAUAAAAAAUGCAUCCUGCUGCUCAGCCACUUUACUGCUUAUUGUAUGCAUAUAUGUAACUACCUUGUGUAUCACCAGUAUCUCUGACAUCGUUAUUGAUAUUGUUCUUGUACAUACUGUAUAGUUUGUUCUUUCUCUACUGGCAUUGACACUUAUUGUUAUUGGUUUUUAUAUAUUGACACUUUCUAUUUUUUAUAUUGCAAGUAACCAUUUGGUUGUACCGUUUACACUUUCUGUAGAGACCCAUCCACUUGGCAUUAUGUCGCUGGGGGUUAUAGAAUUUCUUUCACAUGACCCAUCAAGUUAGACAAGUGUGUCUGGGUGAGCGUCAUCUAAUAAUUCAAAAAUAUUUUUCUGUUUUUGAUAUUGCAACUUUGCAAAUAUGCAAGUACCCAUUUCAAUGUGCAGUUUACACCUUCAGUAUCCUGGGCACGUGACAAAUAAACUUUGAUUUUAUUUUAUAUA